CGCGGGGGCAACCCUGGCGGCGAGCGGCGAACGGGUGAGUAAUGCAUCGGAACGUGUCCUCUUGUGGGGGAUAACCAGUCGAAAGACUGGCUAAUACCGCAUGAGCUCGUAAGAGGAAAGCAGGGGACCCGCAAGGGCCUUGCGCGAGAGGAGCGGCCGACGCCGGAUUAGCUAGUUGGUGGGGUAAAAGCCUACCAAGGCGACGAUCCGUAGCUGGUCUGAGAGGACGACCAGCCACACUGGGACUGAGACACGGCCCAGACUCCUACGGGAGGCAGCAGUGGGGAAUUUUGGACAAUGGGGGCAACCCUGAUCCAGCCAUGCCGCGUGUGUGAAGAAGGCCUUCGGG
rnacentral:rRNA from 1 species